GUUUUUUACAAGUCUCAGUUAGAUAGCAUGCACGUCUAGUACAAACUAAAUGAUGGUGAAACUGCAAAUGGCUCAUUACAACGGUUAUGAUGUACCCGGGAGUUCCGAUGGAUAUUUCCAGUAACACUAGAACUAAUACAUGUCCCUGCGUCUAUUAGUUUCGCACAGUCCGUCGCUGAGUCAUGGUAAACAGUUGAUCGACUCGACGUCCCGGAACAGUUUCCGCCCCAUCAGCUUCGAUGGUUGGGUAUUGGCCUACCAUUGCAACAACGGGUAACGAGGAAUUAGGGUUUGAUUUCGGAGAGGGAGCCUGAGAAACGGCUACCACAUCUACGGAUGGCAGCAGGCGCGCAAAUUACCCAAUGCAGACACUGUGAGGUAGUGACGAGAAAUAAUAAAGCGGGACUUCUGUUUCGCUAUUAUAAUGAGGAAUAACCAAAGGUCAUUCCGAUUAGCAACUGAUGGGAAAGUCUGGUGCCAGCAGCCGCGGUAAUACCAGC
rnacentral:rRNA from 1 species